rnacentral:rRNA from 1 species
GACGAACGCUGGCGGCGUGCCUAAUACAUGCAAGUUGAGCGAUGAAGAUUGGUGCUUGCACCAAUUUGAAGAGCAGCGAACGGGUGAGUAACGCGUGGGGAAUCUGCCUUUGAGCGGGGGACAACAUUUGGAAACGAAUGCUAAUACCGCAUAACAACUUUAAACAUAAGUUUUAAGUUUGAAAGAUGCAAUUGCAUCACUCAAAGAUGAUCCCGCGUUGUAUUAGCUAGUUGGUGAGGUAAAGGCUCACCAAGGCGAUGAUACAUAGCCGACCUGAGAGGGCGAUCGGCCACAUUGGGGCUGAGACACGGCCCAAACUCCUACGGGAGGCAGCAGUAGGGAAUCUUCGGCAAUGGACGAAAGUCUGACCGAGCAACGCCGCGUGAGUGAAGAAGGGUUUCGGAUCGUAAAACCCUGUUGGUAGAGAAGAACGUUGGUGAGAGUGGAAAGCUCAUCAAGUGACGGUAACUACCCAGAAAGGGACGGCUAACUACGUG